rnacentral:rRNA from 1 species
GGAAGGGGUGUAUUUAUUAGAUUAAAAACCAAUGCCCUUCGGGGCUCUCUGGUGAUUCAUAAUAACUUCUCGAAUCGCACGGCCUUGCGCCGGCGAUGGUUCAUUCAAAUUUCUGCCCUAUCAACUUUCGACGGCUGGGUCUUGGCCAGCCAUGGUGACAACGGGUAACGGAGGGUUAGGGCUCGACCCCGGAGAAGGAGCCUGAGAAACGGCUACUACAUCCAAGGAAGGCAGCAGGCGCGCAAAUUACCCAAUCCCGACACGGGGAGGUAGUGACAAUAAAUACUGAUACAGGGCUCUUUCGGGUCUUGUAAUUGGAAUGAGUACAAUUUAAAUCUCUUAACGAGGAACAAUUGGAGGGCAAGUCUGGUGCCAGCAGCCGCGGUAAUUCCAGCUCCAAUAGCGUAUAUUAAAGUUGUUGAGGUUAAAAAGCUCGUAGUUGAACCUUGGGCCUAGCCGGCCGGUCCGCCUCAUCGCGUGCACUGGCUCGGCUGGGUCUUUCCUUCUGGAGAACCGCAUGCCCUUCACUGGGUGUGCCGGGGAACCAGGACUUUUACA